CUGCAGCCAAUUAAACCGACCAUCCUUCUCCUUGUGGGGGCCAGUGUGCAAUGGCUGCAAACAACCAGCCUCCUAGGUAGUGUAUGCAGUCUAUUGCUAUGUAUAGGCUGCCCCAAGGGACCUUGGAGACAGCC